GAUGAACGCUGGCGGCGUGCUUAACACAUGCAAGUCGAGCGGGCAAUUUAUCUAGCACUGAUUACUUCAAAUGGAAAUCAUAAGUGUAAUCAUGAAUUUCUACCUUUAAUAAAGAAAAAAGAAAUUCAUGUACGCAAAUAGUGAUAACACAUUUUAGUGGAGUGAUGAGUGCUGGAUAAAUUGCUAGCGGCGGACGGGUGCGUAACACGUGGGUAACCUGCCCCUAUCACUGGGAUAACACACUGAAAAGUGUGCUAAUACCAGAUAAUAUAAGCUUUUGGCAUCAUUAGCUUAUCAAAGAAUUUCGGAUAGGGAUGGGCCCGCGUCUGAUUAGCUAGUUGGUGAGGUAACGGCUCACCAAGGCAACGAUCAGUAGCCGACCUGAGAGGGUGAUCGGCCACACUGGAACUGAGAUACGGCCCAGACUCCUACGGGAGGCUGCAGUCGAGAAUCUUGGGCAAUGCGCGAAAGCGUGA
rnacentral:rRNA from 1 species